ACCAAUAAAAUACAACCUCGUCCCUAAUUUCUACCCGGACAGCAGCCUAUCCUCACCCUCUCUCUUCAUCGUAGCCGCGCUCUCUCUCCGUCGUUCUUCACGCAAGCAGCCGCCUUGUCAUUCCCCAUGCAUCAACAGCUCAUCAAAUCGUCCUUCACGUAGCAGCAACCCCGUAUUACUCUCUAGCAUCGUGCCUUCCUCCACUCCUCCCUGCAAUUGCCACUCUCUGUCUUCCGUUUGCAGCUGUUCAGCCCUGCCGUUUCCGUCGUCUAGCCCCACAGUUUUCGUCGACACAGUCCCCUGCAUCUAGAAUGGAGCCUCAGAUGGUGAUACACAGUUGAACCAAUGGGAUGAUGAAGAUAUGGUUUCAGGCUCCAGCAGCAAGCAAAGUUACAAUUUUCAAGCUUCCAAUGUUAAUCCUAAGAGAGAAAAGUACCUCAGAUACCGGACCAGACUGAAUGCUGCAGAGUAUGCUUGUUUUAGCUGUGUAAUUUAGUUUUUAUAUAUGUUUCAAAAAUGCCAACCUAUCCUAGAUUCAAAUCUUAUGUUUUCUUGGCUUCUUUCAUGCGGUUUUAAUGCAUGUAAUGUGAAAUAUACCUUCAUCCUUUGGUAAAGAAUUAGGAAGUACAUACUGAGAUUUGGUAACCAUAUCUAAGUUAUCUUCAUUCAAUCCAAAGUUCAUCAGAAGAGGUGCUCUGUAAUUUUAGCUUCAGGUUGGUAUAGUUACUCCUUUCCUCCAUACAAUUUACUUUUCCUAUUUUUGUUGGGAGAAAGAAAAAGAGAAUGAUGAUAACUUGAUUUGAGAAGGGAUUAGUUAUAUGUAGGUCAAGAAAAGGUGGUUUUUCUAUCUUUCUUAUUUUUUAAUGUAUAUGCUAAACUAAAUGUACUAUAAAUAUCAACUUAAUUUUGGUUCUUUAACUGUAAAUUUAAACAAAAAGAUGUAACAUUUCUAAUGCAUUCAAGUUUAUUACAUGAAUUUAUAAAGACCUCUGUAAUAUCGUUAUUCAUUAAUAAAAUCUGUUAUCAAACACAAUCUUGAUAAAGUGUCUCCUUGUUGAAGAAAAUAUUAGGUCGGGGCUUUGAGUGUUUGAUCGCUUGUAGAUUCUGCUGGAAAUGUCAAGCUUACUAGCUCCUCUUUUGAAUAUUAUGUGAUUUGUUGAACUACACGUCUAGUCUAAUAAUUGAUUUUUUUUGUUCAAAUAUUUCAUGAAGAUGAUCGUACUUUUACUAAAUUAAUAAUUUAAGUUUUACAAUUUUGUGAUCAUAGUCGAAUAAUAUGCACUUCGGUAUGGAUUAAUUUGAUGUAAUUGACCCCAAUUUUCAUUACUAUAUUGUUAUUAGGAUGAUAUUUCUUUUUCUUUUAGGGUUGAUUAUGCAGUCACUAUAAAUCUGCAGUUGGGGAGUGGUUCAAUGGUGGAUUGGGCUGAAAUUUUGAUAGCAAGUUCUGGAUGUAAUUUUUCGUUCCAAAUGAUUAGAGGAUUAAGAUAAGAUUUGGAGGGUGAGAUAUGGCUUGCGUGCGCAAAGUAAUUUUGUAAAUUUUUUAUGUUUUUCAGAAUUACAAGCUUAUAACACAUAACAUUCUUUCGAGUUAUCAGCCUUCACCCAGCCUGAUGAUUCCUCAGAAGAUUGAACCUCUUCCAUUGCUCUUGACCAUUACAGAAUCAAGCCUUUCUUGCAAGCAUGUAAGCUCUCUUGCCAGAGAUUUUCUUGUUUCCCUGAAACUUGGAUGCAAGCCCUGGUAUAUAACAUUGAUCAAGGACAAGGAAGCUAACUAAGACUCUAAAUAAUCCUCCUAAUGCAUAUGUAUCUAAUCAUUUACAAAUCACAAUUAUCGCACGUGAUUGUAAUGUAAAGCCAUUGAUAAAAAGAAUAGUGAAACAAAUACAUACUUGAUGCAACAUUUUAUUACCAAAUCAAGGUAUAUUGAAAAGAAAUUGCUGAUUUGAUAUUAAGUAAACAGCAUCAGUAACACAUACUUGAAUAGUAUCAAACUUCCGCAGGAGCCUCAUUAUAUUCUCUCCAAGUGCGAUCCUCUAUUUCUCAUCA